rnacentral:rRNA from 1 species
AGAGUUUGAUCCUGGCUCAGGAUGAACGCUAGCGACAGGCUUAACACAUGCAAGUCGAGGGGCAGCACAGGUAGCAAUACCGGGUGGCGACCGGCGCACGGGUGAGUAACGCGUAUGCAACUUACCUAUCAGAGGGGGAUAACCCGGCGAAAGUCGGACUAAUACCGCAUGAAGCAGGGGCCCCGCAUGGGGAUAUUUGCUAAAGAUUCAUCGCUGAUAGAUAGGCAUGCGUUCCAUUAGGCAGUUGGCGGGGUAACGGCCCACCAAACCGACGAUGGAUAGGGGUUCUGAGAGGAAGGUCCCCCACAUUGGUACUGAGACACGGACCAAACUCCUACGGGAGGCAGCAGUGAGGAAUAUUGGUCAAUGGCCGAGAGGCUGAACCAGCCAAGUCGCGUGAGGGAUGAAGGUUCUAUGGAUCGUAAACCUCUUUUAUAAGGGAAUAAAGUGCGGGACGUGUCCCGUUUUGUAUGUACCUUAUGAAUAAGGAUCGGCUAACUCCGUGCCAGCAGCCGCGGUAAUACGGAGGAUCCGAGCGUUAUCCGGAUUUAUUGGGUUUAAAGGGUGCGUAGGCGGCCUUUUAAGUCAGCGGUGAAAGUCUGUGGCUCAACCAUAGAAUUGCCGUUGAAACUGGGGGGCUUGAGUAUGUUUGAGGCAGGCGGAAUGCGUGGUGUAGCGGUGAAAUGCAUAGAUAUCACGCAGAACCCCGAUUGCGAAGGCAGCCUGCCAAGCCAUGACUGACGCUGAUGCACGAAAGCGUGGGGAUCAAACAGGAUUAGAUACCCUGGUAGUCCACGCAGUAAACGAUGAUCACUAGCUGUUUGCGAUACACUGUAAGCGGCACAGCGAAAGCGUUAAGUGAUCCACCUGGGGAGUACGCCGGCAACGGUGAAACUCAAAGGAAUUGACGGGGGCCCGCACAAGCGGAGGAACAUGUGGUUUAAUUCGAUGAUACGCGAGGAACCUUACCCGGGUUUGAACGCAUUCGGACCGAGGUGGAAACACCUUUUCUAGCAAUAGCCGUUUGCGAGGUGCUGCAUGGUUGUCGUCAGCUCGUGCCGUGAGGUGUCGGCUUAAGUGCCAUAACGAGCGCAACCCUUGCCACUAGUUACUAACAGGUAAAGCUGAGGACUCUGGUGGGACUGCCAGCGUAAGCUGCGAGGAAGGCGGGGAUGACGUCAAAUCAGCACGGCCCUUACAUCCGGGGCGACACACGUGUUACAAUGGCGUGGACAAAGGGAGGCCACCUGGCGACAGGGAGCGAAUCCCCAAACCACGUCUCAGUUCGGAUCGGAGUCUGCAACCCGACUCCGUGAAGCUGGAUUCGCUAGUAAUCGCGCAUCAGCCAUGGCGCGGUGAAUACGUUCCCGGGCCUUGUACACACCGCCCGUCAAGCCAUGGGAGCCGGGGGUACCUGAAGUCCGUAACCGCGAGGAUCGGCCUAGGGUAAAACUGGUGACUGGGGCUAAGUCGUAACAAGGUAGCCGUACCGGAAGGUGCGGCUG